ACUCCUACGGGAGGCAGCAGUGGGAAGUAUUGCACAAUGGCGGCAAGCCUGAUGCAGCCAUGCCGCGUGUGUGAAGAAGGCCUUCGGGUUGUAAAGCACUUUCAGUCGUGAGGAAGGUAGUGUAGUUAACACCUGCAUUAUUUGACGUUACCUACAGAAGAAGCACCGGCUAACUCCGUGCCAGCAGCCGCGGUAAUACGGAGGGUGCGAGCGUUAAUCGGAAUUACUGGGCGUAAAGCGCAUGCAGGCGGCCUGUUAAGUCAGAUGUGAAAGCCCGGGCU
rnacentral:rRNA from 1 species